UCCACGCCCUAAACGAUGGCUACUAGUGGUUGGGGGGAUAGUCCUUCAGUCACGCAGCUAACGCGAUAAGUAGCCCGCCUGGGGAGUACGGCCGCAAGGCUAAAACUCAAAGGAAUAGACGGGGACCCGAACAAGCGGUGGAGCAUGUGGUUUAAUUCGAAGAUACGCGAAGAACCUUACCUGGGCUUGACAUCCCGCGAACCUCCCAGAGAUGGGAGGGUGCCUCUUAUGAG
rnacentral:rRNA from 1 species